AAUUUCAAGAUGGUUAGAUGGCUGCUGACAGUCUGACAGCCUCUGAGCCUCACGACCUAAGUCAACUCAACUUAUUCUCCCUAUUAUUAUAAUAUUCGUCAUCAAAAUGAUAAAAUAGCCUACAAUUUAUGCUUGGCAAUUCCAUCUGAUCAUGUGGCCUGAAUCUGCUGUUUCCCAAAAUGUCGUCUCUUGCUGCAAGUACUGGCUGUGCGUUUCGUCCCAUGUAGAAAUUCUUCACAACAGUAAAAGUGAUCAUUUCGGUGUAACCCUAAGCAUGGUGAAGUCUGAGCUUCUCCAUUGCAGUCCAAUGUGCUGUGCAGUGGGAUUUGUUGCAGCCAGCUGGAGAAAGGUGUUCUUCUUGCAGGCUUGUUACCCGUAGCGUUUGUGGCUUUCGUCACACGCAGAAGCACUUCCAAACAAUUUAAAUAGGAUUAACAGCCUCUUGAGGUCUGAUCCUCUUUGUUGCAGACCAAUGUUUACAUGCAUUUUGUGCAGCCAGCUAGUGAACGGUGUGGUGAGCUGUUGCAUGCAGACUGUGGUGCUGGUGUCGUUCGUUCAUUUAACUAUGGACCGUUCAGUCGUUCGUUUAUCGUAAGAAAUCUGUCACGUGUCGUAGGUGUGUAAAAUUGUGUCGACUAGGUGGCAAAGUAGGUUAGCAUUUAGUUCUUGAUGUCGAAGACAAGUGACAUCUUAUUUUGUGCUUCUAAAUAAGUGCUUUUGUAAGGAAGUUGUAGGAAAGUACUUGUAAAGAGGUGUAAACUUUUGUUGAUGAAACAUAACAGAUAUUCCCUUGCUUUUUAAAAAGGUGAAGUGAAAUCCUGAGGGGUAAUCAUUUUGUACGACUUAUCUUGCCACCUAAAAGCCUUUGACAUUGCGACGUUUUCUUAUUUUUAUUGGAUCUUUCCUAUUUCGCAUGUUGGAGAUGACUAUUGCUCUAGUCGCUUUGCAUUCCGACAUGUUCUAGUGUUUGGACGAACUUCAUUUACAGGGCAAGUUACGAAAGAAACGUACUGUGGUGUUUACUAAAGAAAUUUGAUGUUAACAGCUGGCGUAACAAAGGAGUUGCAGAUAGUGUUUGGUUUUUCAUAUUAGUUUAUUUGAAGGGUCUGGAGUUGACCAGUCACUUGCCUAUAACUUAUGUAAAACUUCAAAUUUGUAAAAAAUAUACAAGUCGUGAACUAAAAA